rnacentral:rRNA from 1 species
GGUUAAGCGACUAAGCGUACACGGUGGAUGCCCUGGCAGUCAGAGGCGAUGAAGGACGUGCUAAUCUGCGAUAAGCGUCGGUGAGGUGAUAUGAACCGUUAUAACCGGCGAUUUCCGAAUGGGGAAACCCAGUGUGUUUCGACACACUAUCAUUAACUGAAUCCAUAGGUUAAUGAGGCGAACCGGGGGAACUGAAACAUCUAAGUACCCCGAGGAAAAGAAAUCAACCGAGAUUCCCCCAGUAGCGGCGAGCGAACGGGGAGGAGCCCAGAGCCUGAAUCAGUGUGUGUGUUAGUGGAAGCGUCUGGAAAGGCGCGCGAUACAGGGUGACAGCCCCGUACACAAAAAUGCACAUAUUGUGAGCUCGAUGAGUAGGGCGGGACACGUGGUAUCCUGUCUGAAUAUGGGGGGACCAUCCUCCAAGGCUAAAUACUCCUGACUGACCGAUAGUGAACCAGUACCGUGAGGGAAAGGCGAAAAGAACCCCGGCGAGGGGAGUGAAAAAGAACCUGAAACCGUGUACGUACAAGCAGUGGGAGCCUCUUAAUGGGGUGACUGCGUACCUUUUGUAUAAUGGGUCAGCGACUUAUAUUCUGUAGCAAGGUUAACCGAAUAGGGGAGCCGAAGGGAAACCGAGUCUUAACUGGGCGUUAAGUUGCAGGGUAUAGACCCGAAACCCGGUGAUCUAGCCAUGGGCAGGUUGAAGGUUGGGUAACACUAACUGGAGGACCGAACCGACUAAUGUUGAAAAAUUAGCGGAUGACUUGUGGCUGGGGGUGAAAGGCCAAUCAAACCGGGAGAUAGCUGGUUCUCCCCGAAAGCUAUUUAG